AGAGGAAGUCCGGUGCGAAUCCGGCGCGGUCCCGCCACUGUCACCGGGGAGCGCCCCUCCGAAAGAGGGCCACGGCCCGUACGCGCUACGGGCGGGAAGGCCAGGGGGCGGCGCCGAUCCGGGAGCCAGGAGACUC
rnacentral:ncRNA from 2 species